UAGACUUUAAGUUAUAUAAACUAAAAACCUUCCAAGUUUUUCAAAAGAAUCUCUUAAGUCUAA
rnacentral:tRNA from 1 species